rnacentral:rRNA from 1 species
AUGGGGAGCUCUGGCGGAGUCUCUCCAUGGAUACGGUGGCCCUGCACCUGUGAGGGACAGAGGGGAGGAGAGGACGCGAGAAGCGGCGUGAAAGUUCUGGUGGUGCCCGUCUCCUGCAACAGCUCUCUUGAGUACGGUCAGAGAGAGAGAGAUGAGAGAGAGCCGGGAGGAAGAAGGAAAGGAAGGAGACUUCAGGAAGGGGCGGCGGGAUCCUGCGGGGGUGGGUUGGAGCCCCGGUGGUAG